AAGUCGUAACAAGGUUUCCGUAGGUGAACCUGCGGAAGGAUCAUUAACACGCAUCCAAACGUUAAAACCCCCCCCGUGAACCUUCAUCCUGCUCUUGUAACCCGCGUAGUUCGCAAUCUCUGAUAAAUCAUAGCCCGGAAAGUUGUAGGGUCUCCAUGCCCCCUAAUAACCCCACAGUUUAAUCUGAAGCUCAAUGUAAUACGUUGGGUAAAAAAACCGAACAACUGUUAACAAUGGAUAUCUUGGUUCUC
rnacentral:misc_RNA from 1 species